rnacentral:rRNA from 1 species
AACGAACGCUGGCGGCAUGCCUAACACAUGCAAGUCGAACGAGACCUUCGGGUCUAGUGGCGCACGGGUGCGUAACGCGUGGGAACCUGCCCUUAGGUUCGGAAUAACUCCCCGAAAGGGGUGCUAAUACCGGAUAAUGUCUUCGGACCAAAGAUUUAUCGCCUUUGGAUGGGCCCGCGUUGGAUUAGCUAGUUGGUAGGGUAAAAGCCUACCAAGGCGACGAUCCAUAGCUGGUCUGAGAGGAUGAUCAGCCACACUGGGACUGAGACACGGCCCAGACUCCUACGGGAGGCAGCAGUGGGGAAUAUUGGACAAUGGGCGAAAGCCUGAGCCAGCAAUGCCGCGUGAGUGAUGAAGGCCUGAGGGGUGUAAAGCUCUUUUACCCGGGAUGAUAAUGACAGUACCGGGAGAAUAAGCUCCGGCUAACUCCG